GGCGCGGAGCCGCACCCUGCCUCAGGCGGCUGCCGGCGGCUGCUCCACUUGUGUCUGCCGUCGGUUCUCCAGGGCUAUGGAGUAUGUUGCAGGGCUUGGCAGGCAAGAACGGAUGCUCGGCAUGACUGGAAACUUGCACAACGCACCGAAAAUGUCCGUCUGGGAGGCUGCGGCCGAGCUGCGGACACAAUGAACUUCCCCGCCAGCGCUGGCCGCGGAGGAAGGGUGCUGCCCCUGCCUGCCACAGCGGAAAGGCAUCGGGGAAGAGGCCGAGAAACGCCUGGGAAACGGGGGUGUCCCGGAGAACAUGGGGUUCGGUUCCAGAAGGAAAUACUUCAGUCACUUGCCAGUUGACGACUGCAGUGGUUUGGAACAACGUGUUCCCCUGAGCAGAAUCUUGCUUAAUUUAACUUCAAAAACGACUUCGCCAGCCCCAGCAGAUUCCUGUUGUCAGCUCCUGACGUGCCAACACGUUUCAAAAAGACAAUAUUUUGGUUUGACCUUCACAAUAGCUUCAAAAGAACAUAAUGCUUUGAGUAUGCUCAACAGUAUUGCUUGUGGGAUUUUAUACAAAGUUUAGACAAUAGGCCCAGCAUAAGAUCAAAUUAAAAGUUGUAAUGGGCAUUUAAAAGUAACAAUACCAUCUUGAAUGUACAUGCAAAUGAGUUCCAGAGAGAAUAAGUUAAUAUUCCAUCACUUCAGGGGAUACUACUUAACAUAAUCAAAAAAUUCAGUUUAUGCCUACUGGUGUUUUACUCAGCAUUUGUAGCACACCAAAGUUCACAGAAUACAAAAUGCUUAAUGAAGCAUGAAAACACAUGAAAAAGUGCCGGUUUAGGAGCAAUAUAAAUAAAAUAAUAAAAACAACUGGUGAAUACAU